rnacentral:lncRNA from 1 species
CAUCAUCCCCCAAUCAACUUCCCUGUCCAGUUGCUUUACCCCCCUCACAUAUUCACACAGGAGUCACAUAUGCCACUAGUCGUACAGAGUCCUCAGAAAAUCCCAAAAAUGUUUUGCCUCUCCUCAAGGUGGCAAAUGGGCAUUUGGGAACAAUUCGAGUUCAUAUCCAUUUUCCAAUGUCUGAUAUUUUGCAAAUUCAAUCCAAACUGGGUUCUUUUGGCCAGGGUCCCUCUAAGAUCAUUCAAGAAUUUUGGGCUUUAACUAUUGCCUUCUAGAUUUUAAGCUCUUCAAGGCUAAUGAGGUGAGUACAAUGCCUAGGACAUAAUAGACUUCAAAUAAGUUUUGUUUGUUUACUAACGUGAAAAGCAAAUAUUGAGGGAAAAUUUUGUUUUAAUAUCUGGAUUUUUUUUUUCAAAUCUAUUUUAAAGUGUCACAAGAGAAAGUAAUAUGGGAUAUUCAAGAAGGCUCUGUAUACUUAACCUGGCAGAGCUUUCUGGAAAAUAUUUUGUUGUUUUAUUUAUGUGUUCAUCAUGCAGUGAUAGAGGGGAGAAUGUGAGUUGGCCUGAGAAAAGAGAGAAAGAGAUUUCACAUUUGCAUUACAUCAAGGAGGUUCAACUUGGUCUAACUACCUCUCCUACUGGAACUCUCCAGCCCCGCCCCCACCACCCCACGCGCGGCUCCCUGCUUUCUCUUGCUUUGGGGUGAGGCUGGGGAUGUGGGUGGCUCCAGAGUUCCCUGCCCGCAGUUUAGGGGCGAAGUGAUCGGUGUGUGCGCGCUGGGCACUCUGCGGGUUAAAAAGGUUUAGCAGAAAGGGAUGCAGAUGGAGGCGGGAAGCCAGGCUAAGAAAGGGAUACCGACCUCCCUCCUCGGGUCGGAGGUGUGAACUGGGAAGCACUGCGCAGACCUGAGCGAGGUGG